UCUCUCUCUCUCUCUCUCAGAUCUGAGGCAGAACACCACCUCUCUUACCAUCUCUCUACCAUAUAUGAUAAUGGGGAGGUACUCAAACAAAUCAAAAUAUUGAAGACAAAUAAGAAGAUCGAAGAUCUUGAAAUGAGAAGGAGGCGAUCUUAGGGUUUCAGGAAACGAGAAGGGCGACUGGAAGAGGAGAGAGAUGUAGACAAAUGAUGGGGUAGUGGGUGGUGUUCUUCGUCUUCUAAAGGAUUCAACUGGGAAUCUUUUCCUGUUGCUACAGAGCUAGUGAUCGUCUUCAUGGAGUGGUUGUUAAAACUUCUCCAGCUUCCCCAGUCUUCACAACUCCCUAGAUGAAAUGAUUAAAAGAGAUCUUGAAGUUACAUACCCAGAUCUGCAAACGAGAAGAGGGAAAUCAUAUGGGUGUCUUGAUCGUUUAAUUAAUUUAUAUCAGUUUGAAACGUGAUUUCAUUUCCUUGUUCAAUUUAUGGUUUAAAUCAAAAAGCUCAACUGAAAUUGGUCA